rnacentral:lncRNA from 10 species
GCGUGAGCCACUGCGCCCGGCCUAGACAAAUUUUUAAAAAUAUUCAAUUAUGUGUUAUUUAAAAGAAACAAUUAUUUUUUUGGGGGGGGGACAGGGUCUUGCUCUGUCACCAAGCUGGAGUGCAGUGGUAUGAUCUUGGCUCACUGCAACCUCUGCCUCCCAUACUCAAGUGAUCCUCCCACCUCAAUCUCCCAAGUAGCUGGGACUACAGGUGUGCGCUACCACAUCCAGCUAAUUUUUUUAAUUUUUUGUAGAGACAGGGUUUCACCACAUUUCCCAGGCUGGUCUCAAACUCCUGGACUCAAGUGAUCCGCCUGCCUCUGCCUCCCAAAGUGCUGGGAUUACAG